rnacentral:tRNA from 1 species
GGCCUGAUGGUCUAGUAGUAUGAUUCACCCUUAGGGCUGGCGGUAUUCACUGCUUCGCACUGAUUGGGUGAGGUCCCGGGUUCAAUUCCCGGUCAAGCCC